UGACGGUACCACCNGAGGAAGCUCCGGCUAACUCCGUGCCAGCAGCCGCGGUAAUACGGAGGGAGCNAGCGUUGUUCGGAAUUACUGGGCGUAAAGGGCGCGUAGGCGGUCGGGUAAGUCGNNUGUGAAAUUCCNNGGCUCAACC
rnacentral:rRNA from 1 species